GGAUGUGAGGGCGAUCUGGUUGUGACAUCUGUUACCCCAUUGAUCGCCAGGGUUGAUUCGGCUGAUCUGGCUGGCUAGGCGGGUGUCCCCUUCCUCCCUCACCACUCCAUGUGCGUCCCUCCUGAAGCUGCGCGCUAGGUCCAAGAGGACCGCCUUCCCCGAAUAGAGACUGACAGUCUUCUGUCGAGGGUAUACGAGUAGCUGCGCUCCCCUGCUAGAACCUCCAAACAAGCUCUCAAGAAUACUGCAUUUAGAGAAAGAAAAAUGAGUAAUCUUAGAGUCCCUGCUCUGUAUGUGAAUCCCCAG
rfam:Erinaceus europaeus unplaced genomic scaffold scaffold00232, whole genome shotgun sequence